rnacentral:snRNA from 1 species
AUCGCUUCUCGGCCUUUUGGCUAAGAUCAAGUGUAGUAUCUGUUCUUAUCAGUUUAAUAUCUGAUACGUCCUCUAUCUGAGGACAAUAUAUUAAAUGGAUUUUUGACUCUAGGAAAUGGAAUAGGAGCUUGCUCCGUCCACUCCACGCAUCGACCCAGUAUUGCAGUACUUCUGGGAACGGUGCAUUUCCC